rnacentral:rRNA from 1 species
CGUACACUCCUGCGGGAGGCAGCAGUGGGGAAUAUUGCACAAUGGGCGCAAGCCUGAUGCAGCCAUGCCGCGUGUAUGAAGAAGGCCUUCGGGUUGUAAAGUACUUUCAGCGGGGAGGAAGGCAAUACGGUUAAUAACCGUGUUGAUUGACGUUACCCGCAGAAGAAGCACCGGCUAACUCCGUGCCAGCAGCCGCGGUAAUACGGAGGGUGCAAGCGUUAAUCGGAAUUACUGGGCGUAAAGCGCACGCAGGCGGUCUGUCAAGUCGGAUGUGAAAUCCCCGGGCUCAACCUGGGAACUGCAUUCGAAACUGGCAGGCUUGAGUCUUGUAGAGGGGGGUAGAAUUCCAGGUGUAGCGGUGAAAUGCGUAGAGAUCUGGAGGAAUACCGGUGGCGAAGGCGGCCCCCUGGACAAAGACUGACGCUCAGGUGCGAAAGCGUGGGGAGCAAACAGGAUUAGAUACCCGGGUAGUCCCA